AUUGAACGCUGGCGGCAGGCCUAACACAUGCAAGUCGGGCGGUAGCACAGAGAGCUUGCUCUCGGAUGACGAGCGGCGGACGGGUGAGUAAUGUCUGGGAAACUGCCCGAUGGAGGGGGAUAACUACUGGAAACGGUAGCUAAUACCGCAUAACGUCGCAAGACCAAAGAGGGGGACCUUCGGGCCUCUUGCCAUCAGAUGUGCCCAGAUGGGAUUAGCUAGUAGGUGGGGUAAUGGCUCACCUAGGCGACGAUCCCUAGCUGGUCUGAGAGGAUGACCAGCCACACUGGAACUGAGACACGGUCCAGACUCCUACGGGAGGCAGCAGUGGGGAAUAUUGCACAAUGGGCGCAAGCCUGAUGCAGCCAUGCCGCGUGUAUGAAGAAGGCCUUCGGGUUGUAAAGUACUUUCAGCGAGGAGGAAGGCAUUGUGGUUAAAAACCACAGUGAUUGACGUUACUCGCAGAAGAAGCACCGGCUAACUCCGUGCCAGCCGCCGCCGUAA
rnacentral:rRNA from 1 species